rnacentral:rRNA from 1 species
CCUACGGGCGGCUGCAGUGGGGAAUAUUGGACAAUGGGGGGAACCCUGAUCCAGCCAUGCCGCGUGUGUGAAGAAGGCCCUCGGGUUGUAAAGCACUUUCAGUGAGGAAGAACGCCUGGUGGUUAAUACCCAUCAGGAAAGACAUCACUCACAGAAGAAGCACCGGCUAACUCCGUGCCAGCAGCCGCGGUAAUACGGAGGGUGCGAGCGUUAAUCGGAAUUACUGGGCGUAAAGCGCGCGUAGGUGGCUUGAUAAGCCGGUUGUGAAAGCCCCGGGCUCAACCUGGGAACGGCAUCCGGAACUGUCAAGCUAGAGUGCAGGAGAGGAAGGUAGAAUUCCCGGUGUAGCGGUGAAAUGCGUAGAGAUCGGGAGGAAUACCAGUGGCGAAGGCGGCCUUCUGGACUGACACUGACACUGAGGUGCGAAAGCGUGGGGAGCAAACAGGAUUAGAUACCCCUGUAGUC